UGCCAAGCUCACAUGAGGAGUUCCACAGU
rnacentral:piRNA from 1 species